GAUCCAGACUUUGAUCAUGGCUCAGGACGAACGCUGGCGGCGUGCUUAACACAUGCAAGUCGAACGAGAGGAGAAGGAAGCUUGCUUCUUUCAAAUCUAGUGGCAAACGGGUGAGUAACACGUAAACAACCUGCCUUCAGGAUGGGGACGACAGACGGAAACGACUGCUAAUACCGAAUACGUUCCUUAGGUCGCAUGACUUUAGGAAGAAAGGGUGGCCUCUACUUGUAAGCUAUCGCCAGAAGAGGGGUUUGCGUCUGAUUAGGUAGUUGGUGAGGUAACGGCCCACCAAGCCGACGAUCAGUAGCCGGUCUGAGAGGAUGAACGGCCACACUGGAACUGAGACACGGUCCAGACUCCUACGGGAGGCAGCAGUGGGGAAUCUUCCGCAAUGGGCGAAAGCCUGACGGAGCAACGCCGCGUGAGUGAUGACGGCCUUCGGGUUGUAAAGCUCUGUGAUCGGGGACGAACGGUCAGCAGACGAAUACUCUGCUGAAGUGACGGUACCCGAAUAGCAAGCCACAGCUAACUACGUGCCAGCAGCCGCGGUAAUACGUAGGUGGCAAGCGUUGUCCGGAAUUAUUGGGCGUAAAGCGCGCGCAGGCGGCUUCUUAAGUCCAUCUUAAAAGUGCGGGGCUUAACCCCGUGAUGGGAUGGAAACUGAGAGGCUGGAGUAUCGGAGAGGAAAGUGGAAUUCCUAGUGUAGCGGUGAAAUGCGUAGAGAUUAGGAAGAACACCGGUGGCGAAGGCGACUUUCUGGACGACAACUGACGCUGAGGCGCGAAAGCGUGGGGAGCAAACAGGAUUAGAUACCCUGGUAGUCCACGCUGUAAACGAUGAAUACUAGGUGUAGGAGGUAUCGACCCCUUCUGUGCCGGAGCUAACACAAUAAGUAUUCCGCCUGGGAAGUACGAUCGCAAGAUUACAACUCAAAGGAAUUGACGG
rnacentral:rRNA from 1 species